CCUACGGGGGACAGCAGUGAGGAAUAUUGGACAAUGGGCGCGAGCCUGAACCAGCCAAGUAGCGUGAAGGAUGACUGCCCUACGGGUUGUAAACUUCUUUUAUAAAGGAAUAAAGUGAGGCACGUGUGCCUUUUCGUACGUACUUUAUGAAUAAGGAUCGGCUAACUCCGUGCAAGCAGCCGAGGUAAGACGGAGGAUCCGAGCGUUAUCCGGGUUUAUUGGGUUUAAAGGGAGCGUAGAUGGGUUGUUAAGUCAGUUGUGAAAGUUUGCGGCUCAACCGUAAAAUUGCAAUUGAUACUGGCAGCCUUGAGUACAGUUGAGGUAAGCGGAAUUCGUGGUGUAGCGGUGAAAUGCUUAGAUAUCACGAAGAACACCGAUUGCGAAGGCAGCUUACUAAACUGCCACUGACAUUGAUGCUCGAAAGUGUGGGUAUCAAACAGGAUUAGAUACCCGUGUAGUC
rnacentral:rRNA from 1 species